UACGUAGGGUCCGAGCGUUAAUCGGAAUUACUGGGCGUAAAGCGUGCGCAGGCGGUUUUGUAAGUUUGUCGUGAAAGCCCCGGGCUCAACCUGGGAAUUGCGAUGAAGACUGCAAGGCUUGAAUCUGGCAGAGGGGGGUAGAAUUCCACGUGUAGCAGUGAAAUGCGUAGAGAUGUGGAGGAACACCGAUGGCGAAGGCAGCCCCCUGGGUCAAGAUUGACGCUCAUGCACGAAAGCGUGGGGAGCAAACAGG
rnacentral:rRNA from 1 species